AUUGACGCCGCUUCUUCUUCUCCAUCGAAGCUGCUCUCUUCUCUUCUCCUUUGAGCUUUCUCUUCUCCUUUGAGCUUUCUCUACAGACGCAUCUGGAGCUCUCUCCAUCUCCAACCUCUCUCAAGCUCGCUCUCCAUCUCUCUCAAACUCUCGAUCCUCUCUCCAUCUCGCACGAUCUCGAGCUCUCCAUCUCCAACCUCUCUCAAGCUCGCUCUCCAUCUCCAACGCAUCUCAAGCUCGCUCGAGCUCUUCAUCUCCAACGCAUCUCAAGCUCGCUCUCCACUUCUCGACCCUCUCUCCAUCAAGCUUCGUCUCGUCUCUCACACCAUCUCCAGAGCUCUCUCUCUCGAUCUCAAACCCAGUGUUGCAGAACUUGAAUGAGAUUAUAGCCUCACGAACUUGCUUUGUCUCAGGCUCUCCACCUCUCGACCCUCUCUCCAUCAAGCUUCGUGCAUCUCCUUCAAGGACUCUGCUUGUCGCUGCUUCGGUAAUUUUCAGGAGCUACUAAAAAUAAAGCCUUAUGAGAAGGUUUACGCUCGAGCCAAGCUUCGUGUUCCUAAUCAACGUCAAUCCAAUAAUGAUGUGGUUGGUCAACGCAAUCAUUGCCCUGGAAAAGGGAGCUUACUUGCUUAAGUAUGGAAGAAGAGGGAAGCCUAAGUUCUGCCCUUUUCGCCUUUCUAAUGAUGAAACUGUUUUGAUAUGGUUCUCCGGUAAGGAGGAGAAACAUCUGAAGCUAAGCCAUGUUUCUAGGAUCAUUUCUGGACAACGCACUGUAAGCUGAGAGCCGUGUUUCUUUCUUGCCCUCUUUUAUGCAACUUUUCAUGUGACAGUUUCCUUAGUCUGAGGAGAGUGCAUAUUUGUGCCUUACGGUGAUAUUAUUCUGAUAUCUAGCAUUUGUGGCUCUUUUGUAGCCUAUUUUUCAAAGGUAUCCUCGUCCCGAGAAGGAAUAUCAGUCUUUUUCACUUAUAUAUAGCGAGAGGUCUUUGGAUGUGGAUUUUCUUUGGUAGAUCUGCAAGGAUAAAGAUGAGGCUGAAGUGUGGUUUAGUGGUCUUAAAGCCUUGAUUUCGCGUUACCAUCAAAGAAAUAGGAGGACUGAAUCAAGAAGUGAUGGGACACCAUCUGAAGCUAACAGCCCAAGGACAUAUACCCGGAGAAGCUCUCCUUUGCGCUCUCCAUUUAGCAGCGAUGACAGUUUGCAGAAGGUUUUAGAAAAAGUUUUCUGUGUACACUUUUGUGAAUUUUAUUGUAAUUUUUUAUCAACCAACUUAAUUUCAUGUUCUUUUAUCUGUAAAACAUAUUUGCCUUAUUUGUUUGAAGUGAUAAUUUCAAAAAUUAAAUGUAUGAUUUUAUCAUA